rnacentral:rRNA from 1 species
GUUGGAAACGACUGCUAAUACCGCAUACGCCCUACGGGGGAAAGGAGGGGCUCUUCGGACCUUUCGCGAUUGGAUGUACCUAGGUGGGAUUAGCUUGUUGGUGAGGUAAGAGCUCACCAAGGCGACGAUCCCUAGCUGUUCUGAGAGGAUGAUCAGCCACACUGGGACUGAGACACGGCCCAGACUCCUACGGGAGGCAGCAGUGGGGAAUAUUGCACAAUGGGCGAAAGCCUGAUGCAGCCAUGCCGCGUGUGUGAAGAAGGCCUUCGGGUUGUAAAGCACUUUCAGCGAGGAGGAAAGGUUAACGGUUAAUACCCGUUAGCUGUGACGUUACUCGCAGAAGAAGCACCGGCUAACUUCGUGCCAGCAGCCGCGGUAAUACGAGGGGUGCAAGCGUUAAUCGGAAUUACUGGGCGUAAAGCGUACGCAGGCGGUUUGUUAAGCGAGAUGUGAAAGCCCCGGGCUCAACCUGGGAACUGCAUUUCGAACUGGCAAACUAGAGUCUUGUAGAGGGGGGUAGAAUUUCAGGUGUAGCGGUGAAAUGCGUANAGAUCUGAAGGAAUACCGGUGGCGAANGCGGNCCCCUGGACAAAGACUGACGCUCAGGUACGAAAGCGUGGGGAGCAAACAGGAUUANAUACCC